rnacentral:rRNA from 1 species
GACGUAGGGCGCGAGCGUUGUCCGGAUUUAUUGGGCGUAAAGAGCUCGUAGGCGGCUCGUUGCGUCGGCUGUGAAAACCCGCAGCUCAACUGUGGGCUUGCAGCCGAUACGGGCGGGCUGGAGUUCGGUAGGGGAGGACUGGAAGUUCCUGGUGUAGCGGUGAAAUGACGCCAGAUAUCAGGAGGAACACCGGUGGCGAAGGCGGGUCUCUGGGCCGAUACUGACGCUGGAGGAGCGAAAGCGUGGGGAGCGAACAGG